CAGUCUUCAUACAAUGAAGAAGUUCUUUGAGACCAGGACUGAGGUCUCCAGGAUUCAAACUUCAACUGUUAAAUCACAGAGAGAAGAGACAGAUGGGAAGACAUUUCCAGAAGGUGACACAGUCGUUCUCCUUCUCCUCCUCCUCCUCCUCCUGCAGAGACAGAACAUGUUAAUUACUGAGACAGUCCAAAAACUUUAAUAUAUGUAUUAAAAUGUUUAUAUAAAGAAAAGAACAGUUUAAUUAGCCCUCAACUUCCAUUUUUUUAAAACUAUUUUUCAUGCCUUACUACAGUAUGACAUUUUUUGAUGAUUUUUGACACCUUACUAUACUAUGACAUUUUUUGACGAUUUUUUACACCUUACUAUACUAUGACAUUUUUUGACCAUUUUUGACACCUUACUAUACUAUGACAUUUUUUGACACCUUAUAUACUAUGACGUUUUUUGACCAUUUUUGACACCUUACUAUACUAUGACAUUUUUUGACCAUUUUUGACACCUUACUAUACUAUGACAUUUUUUGACGAUUUUUGACAACUUACUAUACUAUGACAAUUUUUGAUGAUUUUUGACACCUUACUAUACUAUGACAUUUUUUGACCAUUUUUGACGCCUUAUAUACUAUGACAUUUUUUGACCAUUUUUGACACCUUACUAUACUAUGACAUUUUUUGACCAUUUUUAAUGCCUUAUUAUACUAUGACGUUUUUUGAUGAUUUUUGACAUCUUACUAUACUAUGACAUUUUUUGACACCUUACUAUACUAUGACAUUUUUUGAUGGUUUUUGACACCUUACUAUACUAUGACAUUUUUUGACCGUUUUUGACACCAUACUAUACUAUGACAUUUUUUGAUGAUUUUUGACAUCUUACUAUACUAUGACAUUUUUUGACCAUUUUUGACACCUUACUAUACUAUGACAUUUUUUGACAUUUUUGACACCUUACUAUACUAUGACAUUUUUUGAUGAUUUUUGACAUCUUACUAUACUAUGUCAUUUUUUGACCGUUUUUGACACCUUAUUAUACUAUGACGUUUUUUGACCAUUUUUGACACUUAACUAUACUAUGACAUUUUUUGACCAUUUUUGACACCUUACUAUACUAUGACAUUUUUUGACCAUUUUUGACACCUUACUAUACUAUGACAUUUUUUGUUGAUUUUUGACACCUUACUAUACUAUGACGUUUUUUGACAUUUUUGACACUUAAUUAUACUAUGACAUUUUUUGACGCCUUACUAUACUAUGACAUUUUUUGACCAUUUUUGACACCAUACUAUACUAUGACAUUUUUUGACACCUUACUACACUAUGACAUUUUUUGACCAUUUUUGACACCUUACUAUACUAUGACAAUUUUUGACCAUUUUUCAUGUCUUACUAUACUAUGAUAUUUUUUGACAAUUUUUGACACAUUACUAUACUAUGACAAUUUUUGACCAUUUUUCAUGUCUUACUAUACAAUGACAUUUUUUGAUGGUUUUUGACACCUUACUAUACUAUGACAUUUUUUGAUGGUUUUUGACACCUUACUAUACUAUGACAUUUUUUGAUGGUUUUUGAAACCUUACUAUACUAUGACAUUUUUUGACCAUUUUUCAUGUCUUACUAUACUAUGACAUUUUUUGAUGGUUUUUGACACCUUACUAUACUAUGACAUUUUUUGAUGGUUUUUGACAUCUUACUAUACUAUGACAUUUUUUGACUAUUUUUCAUGUCUUACUAUACUAUGACAUUUUUUGAUGGUUUUUGACACCUUACUAUAGUAUGACAAUUUUUGACCAUUUUUCAUGUCCUACUAUACUAUGACAAUUUUUGACGCCUUACGAUAUCAUGACAAUUCUUGACCAUUUUUCAUGUCCUACUAUACUAUGACAAUUUUUGACGCCUUACGAUAUCAUGACAAUUCUUGACCAUUUUUCAUGUCUUACUACACUAUGACAUUUUUUGACCAUUUUUCAUGUCUUACUAUACUAUGACAUUUUUUGACAAUUUUUGACACAUUACUGUACUAUGACAUUUUUUGACAAUUUUUGACAUUUUACCAUACUAUAACAUUUUUUGACCAUUUUUGACAUCUUACCAUACUAUAACAUUUUUUGACAAUUUUUGACACCUUACUAUAGUAUGACAAUUUUUGACCAUUUUUCAUGUCCUACUAUACUAUGACAAUUUUUGACGCCUUACGAUAUCAUGACAUUUUUUGACCAUUUUUGACCAUUUUUCAUGCCUUACUAUACUAUGACAAUGUUUGACCACACACCUCUACACAAUGUUUGUAAGUUAGGUUAUGUUUUUGUGUUUGUGUAUUGUUCAAAUAAAUACUUCUGAACCCUGAA